UCAGGCUAGGUAAUCCAUCUGAAGCUAAGCAGGUUUGGGCCUGGCCAGUAUGUGGAUGAGAGACCAAUUAUGAAAGCUGGGUAUCUGCUGGAA
rnacentral:rRNA from 1 species